GUCCACGCCCUAAACGAUGCAUAUUUGGUGUGGGCAGUUCAUUCUGUCCGUGCCGGAGCUAACGCGUUAAAUAUGCCGCCUGGGGAGUACAGUCGCAAGGCUGAAACUCAAAGGAAUUGACGGGGGCCCCGCACAAGCGGUGGAGCAUGUGGUUCAAUUCGACGCAACGCGAAGAACCUUACCUGGGCUCGAACGGCUGGUCAACGCCGGUGGAAACAUCGGUACCCCGCAAGGGGGUCCAGUCGAGGUGCUGCAUGGCUGUCGU
rnacentral:rRNA from 1 species